GAACGGAGCCAUCUUUUGAACCUGUAAUUAGGUAUGGGCUAUCGGCGAGGGCAAUGACAGAAGUUACUGGAGACACGAAAGCUUCCAUUGUAUGAACACAAGCCUUUUCUUCCAUGUCCCAUAUCUGUUAGACAAAAAAAGGGCAUGCACCAUUAUUGACAGUUUUACACUCGUUCGUAUUGUUGUAUUUGUCAAUGAUAAUGGCAUACCUUAGCAGUGUGAUCAUCAGAGCCAGUAAUCAAAUACUGUCGAUCAUUACAUUUGAAGAAAUCAAGGCAGUUCACUUUGUCCAGAUGCCCAUACAAAGUAUAUUUUGAUUCGGGAGA
rnacentral:lncRNA from 1 species